rnacentral:rRNA from 1 species
GGGCCCGCACAAGCGGUGGAGCAUGUGGUUUAAUUCGAUGCAACGCGAAAAACCUUACCAGGCCUUGACAUCCAGAGAACUUACCAGAGAUGGUUCGGUGCCUUCGGGAACUCUGUGACAGGUGUUGCAUGGCUGUCGUCAGCUCGUGUCGUGAGAUGUUGGGUUAAGUCCCGUAACGAGCGCAACCCUUAUCCUUACUUGCCAGCACGUAAUGGUGGGAACUUUAAGGAGACUGCCGGUGACAAACCGGAGGAAGGAGAGGAUGAUGUCAAGUCAUCAUGGCCCUUACGGCCUGGGCUACACACGUGCUACAAUGGGAAGUACAGACGGCUGCUAACCCGCGAGGGGGAGCUAAUCCGACAAAACUUGUCGUAGUCCGGAUCGAAGUCUGCAACUCGACUUCGUGAAGUCGGAAUC